rnacentral:rRNA from 1 species
GAUGAACGCUAGCGGCAGGCUUAAUACAUGCAAGUCGAGGGGCAGCAGGACUGUAGCAAUACAGUUGCUGGCGACCGGCAAACGGGUGCGGAACACGUACGCAACUUACCCAAAACUGGGGAAUAGCCCGGGGAAACCAGGAUUAAUACCUCGUAACAUAAUGAAGUGGCAUCACUUUAUUAUUAUACCUCCGGCGGAUCUGGAUGGGCGUGCGCCUGAUUAGGUAGUUGGCGGGGUAACGGCCAACCAAGCCUACGAUCAGUAACGGGUGUGAGAGCACGACCAGUCACACGGGCACUGAGACACGGGCCCGACUCCUACGGGAGGCAGCAGUAAGGAAUAUUGGUCAAUGGACGCAAGUCUGAACCAGCCAUGCCGCGUGAAGGAUGAAGGUCCUCUGGGUUGUAAACUUCUUUUAUAUGGGAAGAAAUUCUCGCAUUCCUGCGGGAUUGACGGUACCAUAGGAAUAAGCACCGGCUAACUCCGUGCCAGCCGCCGCAGUAACAC